rnacentral:rRNA from 1 species
CAGUAGCCGCGGUAACACGUAUGUCACAAGCGUUAUCCGGAUUUAUUGGGCGUAAAGCGCGUCUAGGUGGUUAUGUAAGUCUGAUGUGAAAAUGCAGGGCUCAACUCUGUAUUGCGUUGGAAACUGUGUAACUAGAGUACUGGAGAGGUAAGCGGAACUACAAGUGUAGAGGUGAAAUUCGUAGAUAUUUGUAGGAAUGCCGAUGGGGAAGCCAGCUUACUGGACAGAUACUGACGCUGAAGCGCGAAAGCGUGGGUAGCAAACAGGAUUAGAGACCCCCGUAGUCCCUGUCUCUUAUACA